rnacentral:rRNA from 1 species
GACGAACGCUGGCGGCGUGCUUAACACAUGCAAGUCGAACGAAGUGGCGAACGGGUGAGUAACGCGUAAUCAACCUGCCCUUCAGAGGGGGACAACAGUUGGAAACGACAGCUAAUACCACAUACUGAAGGAGGGGAGUGCGUCGGAUUAGCUAGUUGGAGGGGUAACGGCCCACCAAGGCGAGGAUCAGUAGCCGGUCUGAGAUGAUGAACGGCCAAAUUGGGACUUAGACACGGCCCAGACUCCUACGGGAGGCAGCAGUGGGGAGUCUUCCGCAAUGGACGAAAGUCUUGCGGAGCAACGCCGCGUGAGUGAUGACGGCCUUCGGGUUGUAAAGCUCUGUUAAUCGGGACGCGGUACCGGAAUAGAAAGCCACGGCUAACUACGUGCCAGCAGCCGCGGUAAUAC